UACGUAGGGUCCGAGCGUUGUCCGGAAUUAUUGGGCGUAAAGGGUGCGUAGGCGGGUCUUUAAGUCAGGGGUGAAAUCCUGGAGCUCAACUCCAGAACUGCCUUUGAUACUGAAGAUCUUGAGUUCGGGAGAGGUGAGUGGAACUGCGAGUGUAGAGGUGAAAUUCGUAGAUAUUCGCAAGAACACCAGCGGCGAAGGCGGCGUCCUGGACUGGGCCUGACGCUCAGGAGCGAAAGCGUGGGGAGCGAUCCGG
rnacentral:rRNA from 1 species